UAGAGUUUGAUUCUGGCUCAGAUUGAACGCUGGCGGCAGGCCUAACACAUGCAAGUCGAACGGUAACAGGAGACAGCUUGCUGUUUCGCUGACGAGUGGCGGACGGGUAAGUAAUGUCUGGGAAACUGCCUGAUGGAGGGGGAUAACUACUGGAAACGGUAGCUAAUACCGCAUAACGUCGCAAGACCAAAGAGGGGGACCUUCGGGCCUCUUGCCAUCGGAUGUGCCCAGAUGGGAUUAGCUAGUAGGUGGGGUAACGGCUCACCUAGGCGACGAUCCCUAGCUGGUCUGAGAGGAUGACCAGCCACACUGGAACUGAGACACAGCCCAGACUCCUACGGGAGGCAGCAGUGGGGAAUCUUGGACAAUGGGCGCAAGCCUGAUCCAGCCAUGCCGCGUGAAUGAUGAAGGCCUUAGGGUUGUAAAAUUCUUUCAUCGGGGACGAUAAUGACGGUACCCGAAGAAGAAGCUCCGGCUAACUUCGUGCCAGCAGCCGCGGUAAU
rnacentral:rRNA from 1 species